AUGUCAAAACGCUAAGCUCAAUUUAGAUGGAAAGGUAAACAACAAUGUUACCGUCUUCCAUGUCUGCUUGGAUGGUUUUGUUGCAUGUAGAAUGAUGACAUAGACAUAGCAUAAAGUAGUUGUUUGUGUGUGUGUGUGUGUGUGUGUGUGUAUGUGUUCUUGUGUGUAUACCUGGAGGGUUUGCAUGCACACAUAUGUACACGUGUAUGUGAGAACCAGAGGUUGACGUCAAUUGUCCUUGUCACAAUAUUAGUGACAUUAGCUCUCCAUAUUAGUUUUGAGACAAAGUCCCUCACUGAGCCUGGACAUCAUUGGUUCAGCCAAUCUGGCUGGCCAGCAAAACCCAGGGCUCCUCCUCUCUCUACCUCCCUAGUGUUUGGCUUCCAGGUGCACAUGCCACCGUGCGCAGUUUUUCAAGAUCAUGCCGGGAAUCCUAACUCAGAUCCCCAAUCUUGUGUGUCGAGCACUUUGCAGACUGAGCCCUCUUCCCAGCAGCUAACGUGGGUUUUUAAAAAAUGAUUUUAAGUGAAUAUACAAAAAAUGUAAACAUUCUAUAUACUGAUAGUAUGCCCCACGAUGCUGCAAUACAUGCAUACACUCACUAUGUAAUGUUCCAAUCAGAUUAGACACACCUGUCUCCUCUAGUGCCUUUUUUAUAGCAAAGGCAUUACAGCCUCUGGAAGCCGAAGGCAGGUUUUGAUGAUGAAUGCUGUAUAUAUACAGAGGAGUCUCUGUAUAAACCGCCCUGCAACGGCAGCUGAGCAGAAGUGGUGAUGACACUUUGGUCCCUCUCUAAUUUGAGCAGGUAAAAACAUUUUAUCUGCCUCUAAUUUCCCCAGCUGGUGCCCUGCCUUGCUCUACCUAUCUGUGGGCAGUAAAAUUCUGAGGUGUGAUCUAGACCUUAAGAGUUACGCUCCAUUAGCUCUAACGAGUGACUUACGGUUAAGUCUUCAUGGAUAAGCCUGCACAUCCCCCUGCAGGUACCGGCUCACAUCUCAUUUCAGUGGGCAUCACACAAGCCUGCACUAAAACUGCUUGCAUCAUUUAACCUGUAAGGCUGUCCAACAAACCUGGGAUUUAUGCCUUGUAAAACAUUCAUCUUAGCUUAGCCUGGGCGGUUGGAAAAAUCUCCUGGUUUCUUGGUUACGGUUUCAGGUUCAUGUCAAAUAAAUGUCCAGAUUCUUGGUGUUUCCUAUAGGAUAGGAGUUGGGCCAAGAUGGUCUUGCAUGUGGAACAAUAUAAUGUUCAGAUAAUUGUAAUAACUAAGAUGGGAUAAUUUUAAAUUAAUUUAGGAAUCUAGGCGUAUAGGCUAAGUAUCCCUGACAGUUAAGUUUCCAGGCUACAUCUGUCAUUCUAGUGUCUUGUUAAAUAACCUUCAGAAACGCAGGAAGGUUGUAACCAAUUUCUAAAAUGCUUUCAUGAAAAACACAAGAGACCCUCCUCUCCCAGAUUGUAUUUCUGUUUCCUACAGGACUCUGAGGAAUGUUCUCAUGAAUCCUGUCUACCCAGAUUGCAACCUGAAUACCAGAACACAUUGUUUGAAUACAUAAUUCAAGGUCAACGAGAAGGUGUUCCAUUGUAUGAUUUAGUCAUGAGCCACCGCUUGGAGCAUCAUCUUUCUGCCAUUAAUGAGUCGCCUUCUACAGCAGCAGGAUUUGGAAACCUUUGAACUGUUUAGAGGAGAGCCUUUGGGUGGGUGUGUUUGCCCUUUUCUGUGUUAAAUUGCUUGUCUCCGGCAGGCAUUUCCCUAACAAAUCGAGUCCUGGUCCCAGUCUGGCUGUUGAAUUGGGAGCCAUUAAUAACUGGCAAUUUGUAGCUGUCAUAAAGAUGCCGGGGACUUUCCAGAUGGCUUUUCCCGCCUUGUGCCAGUCCCUUUGAUGGGAUUUUAAUCAGCAGGCAUUGGUCGUGGUCCUUGGCCCACAGCAGGGACAGAGGUCACCUGUUUACCAUAGCUUUGGUUUUCUGAUGAAAGGGCAAAGCCCCAGGAGGGCAUGUGCUGGGUAUUUUAGGAGCCAGGGGGAAGAGACACUGGAGUAUAAUAUGAGAAUGUAAACCAAACACAACAACAAAAAGUCCAAUUGAACUUUUAAAAUCACCGAGCUAACUUUGAAGGUAGUGAACAGAAGUUGUGAGCGAGCGUCAUGUGUGCCCUUUGGGUCUGACUCAACACACUAACUUAGCACUGAAGGAGUGCAGAGGAACCUCUCACACUCAACUCUGUUCCUCUCCCUGCCCUCCAAAGCCUCCCACAAGACCUUCUGAAAAAGAGAAUCGAGGUUCAAGAAACCCCCACUGAUAACAAACAGUCUUUCCAAAUAGGCUCAGGAAGCCGCUCCAUAGUGGGAUGUCAGGGGCUGAUCCAAAUUGCCGUCACCCCUGUAUCCACCAUUCCAUCUAAAUGUUAUGACCACUUUGCUUCCUACACAAAUUGGUCUUGCCAAUCACAGAACAAUCACUUCUAUCAACGACGCAAGACCCUCUUCUUCUAUACCCAAGACCCAUGGAAUCCCAGGUGGGAAGCGGGCGUUGUUGGUAAGCUCAACCGUAAGAACCAGUCUGGGUCUCCAAUAAGGACUAUUCACAUCCAGAGAAAGUAUGUCUCAAUUGUCCAACCUCUGGAAAUUGGAGAAAUAGGAGAAUUAAACACUCCUCCAAAGUUAUUACAUCCCUGACAUCCUCCCUCAUAAAUGGCACUAACUUGUCAUUUCACCUUCUGUUUCAGACCUCAGCCUACCAAUUCCUUAAUGUCACCCAACCUGGUCACUUCAAAGAUUGCUGGCUAUGUGUACCCCCUGGAAGUAACUUACAAUCACCUCUUACAGCUUCUCUAGAGAUGCUGCCACACAACCUCGCUUCACCUUUUAUCAGCUGCCCUGACUCCGAUGUUGCCAUGACUCCAUACCUUUUCUCUAUCUCUCUUUUCAUGGCAGACUAUUUUAGGACAUCCGGGACACACUCUGUAGGAACGCUAAGCUCCCUAGACUGUAUCAGAAUCAUAACCCUUGAUACCUCACCUCUGCCACAGUGCCCUGAAGACCAGAACACGCCAAUUCUCUCUGGUACUCAGGUCUAUCAUCAUUUACCUGCAAGCUGGGCAGUAGUUUGCACAUUGGUCUCUUUUUUCCAAAUUAGGAGUAAUCCACAGGGAAGAGCCGCUACCAAUCCUGGUGUGGACUCAAUAGCUGCCCAACAUAACAAAAGGGUAGUGAAAUCCUGUCACUCUUGGUCCGUGUAGGAAUAACUGAAGGUGUUGCUCCCGGAACGGCAGGACUGAACACCUCUCUAACCUUAUACAACCAGUUCUCUUCCCAGCUUGUCUGCAAUCUUCAAGAGGUGGCUCAAACCAAGCUCACUCUCCAAGGACAGAUCGAUUCCCUGGCAACAGUGAUGCUUCAAGACCUAUGGGGACUGGAUUUUCUUACAGCUAUAGAGGGUGGCCUUGGGUUUUAUUCUCCAGCAAGAAUGCUGCUUCUAUGUCAACCAGUCAGGUACAGUAAAAACCAAACCUCAACGACUCCAAACAGACCCCCAAGAACACAGAGAACAGCUUGAUGCCUCUGAUCCCUGGGUUUUCACAAACCCCAUAUGGAAAUGGAUACUGCCCUUCCUAACCCAUCUUCUUCUCAUUUUUCUGUUUUUAACUAUUUGUUCCCUGGUUCAUUAAUUUCUUCUCUACAGUCCUCCAAUGACAAAUUCAAAAAAGUUCCAACCAACCAAUUAAUCAGUUCCUUUUUACAUGAUUACCAACCACUGUCCACAGAAGAACCUGAUGCGACCGAACAUUGAAUGAGUCUUGAUGGUGAGGGUCAGCUACACCCCAAAAUUAACAACACCCCUAGACAACAGGAAGCAGUUUAAGAGAUCCGAUGCCCCUAUUCCCACUUUACAACCGGCCCGUCCCCUUUUUUGAUUCUCCUCUUUAUGAUUAGGAAAAGAGAGGAUUGCUGACAACUAGGUACAUCCAUGGACAGCUAGAAAUGAUUUCGCAACAAUCAGGCAUCUUUACAGCCAGCCCUCGAGGGACCUAAUGAUGAGACAUGUCAUCUCUAGCAGCUCAAGAGGAAACAGCGUUGCUGCUGUCUGUCUCUUUGCACAUGUGCCACGGGCCCAAUAAAAGCCUCGUUCUCCCUGCCCCCUUCUCUCCUCUCUCCUCCCUCUCCCAGAGGCUGCCUCUAUUUCCCCUCCUAAUAAACCUCACACUGAGACCGGCUGCAGGGCGGAGAUUUGUGAUUUGUUUGGGACCACUUAAUUCUAACACCUGUGGUCUCUGUUUCAACAUUGGCCCCUCCUUUGGCCUACUCUGUCUCUCUUCCACUCUGACAUCCAUGACAUCCAUAGUCUACAGGCAGCCUCCUUCUCUCCAUGGAACUCUGAGGAGUCGUUUACUGCCUCUUCCCCUAGGACGCCAGCUCCACCAGGACACAGAAUAUCUCCUUUACUGCUACACACCUUCCCCUUAACCCGUGGCAGAGAUAAAAACAAAUGCAUUGGAAUGUAUGCUACCGUGCUCCCCACAGUGAUGAUAAUGGACUAAACCUCUGAAACUGUAAGCCAGCUCUAGUUAAAUGCUUUCUAAGGGUUGCUGUGGUCCUGGUGUCUCUUCACAGCAACAAAACACUGGCUUAGACACCUACUGCACAGUACCCCCUACAUCAGGAUCAUCUCUUAAUCGUGUAGAGUAGGAGCCGGCUUGACAUGAGAUCAGCUUCCUUGUUUCCCAGUGGGGACAUUCUGAAGUUUGUUCCAGAGGGUUCUUUCCAGAACUCAGACCACAGAAUCCCUUGCCAACCUCCACACCGACUUGCCUUGUUCUGUUGUCUCCUUUAACCCUUAGCAUGGCUUUUACUUUAUUUCUCAAUUCGAUGACUUAUUUGACAUCUUUGUUUCAGGGUCUGCUUUUAAAUGAACCCAAAUUAGGAAGUCACAAUCUGGGUUUGUGUACUGUCCCAUUAGUAGUGGGCUCAUGAGUUUUAUGUUAUGGAAUGUAAAAAUACUUAGCAUGACCCAGACAUAGGAAGUCCAUCUGCUCUGGUACUCCCACUUCCCCGUUUUCCUCCGCUGACCACCAGCAUCUGGCUAUUUCAGUCAGCAUUUAGAAUCUAGUCUGUUUCCAAUUCCUUCUGCACUUGGCCAUUUGUGUUUGUUGCUUCUGCCUGAGUAGCCUGUCAGGAUCAUCCAUGAGGCCCCCACCCAGGUAUCCCUUCCUCAUGGGGGUUUUGGGCUCUCCAGACUUCCCAUGAUCCUCUUGCAGUUUCCCUCAUGACACUUGCCACAUCACCCACUUCCUGAGGAUGAUAAUCUGCUCAGGUGUGGGUCCCACAAGGGCCCAAGCACACUGGUGCAUCGUGAGGCUCACUGGACAACCACAGGCAGCAUGUUCCUUUAACCCUGUCAUCCAGGGCAGCAAAUUAGACAUGCUGAUUAGACAGAGCUGGGAACACCAGUGGGAACGGUCUGAGAGAAAGUCCCAUUGUACCCCAGGGCAUGCUCGUUAGCAACCUGGGAGGAAGCAGAGGCUGCCAGUCAGUCCGUGGCAGUGGAGGCUUCUUGGACACAGACAUGAGCUGUCUCUUCGGUCUAUAACCAACUGAUUAUCCAGGAGAGGCUGCCUCUCAUUUCUAAGUGGACAACCCCACUGGUUUAUAAGGUGUUGUGCUCACACUUUCAGGGUAUGUAGAGGUUCAUACACGAACCACCAUCACACUCAACGUCCAACUGUGGCGUAGCUCAGUUCCUUUCCAAUUUGAGUUCACAAUAAAAAAUACAACAAAGAUUUCAAAGGAAAGGGAACAAAAGCUGAGGUCUUCCUUUCUGUGAGCCAACAGAGCACACAAAGCCACACCUGGAGUUACUGCUCUGGAGGGAUUCAGGAGAAAGCCAAGCCCCCAGGGGGGCUCCUCUGAAAUGUAGAUUCUAAUGCGGGAGGCCUGGGCCUGUCACAGGAUUCUGCAUUUUAACCAGCUCCUGUAGUGCCAAAGAUCUGAGUCUGUGUACUGUCCCAUUAGUAGUUGACACCCUACUUUUCAAAUAUUCUUAAGCCACUAAAAUUUAGGUGUCUAAACCAGGCAGUAGGACGUGCUUUCUUCUUUUCUUUUCUUCUCUUUUCUUUUCUGUGAUUUCCUUCUAUCUCAGAGUCAUUCCCCCCACCCGCCCCCCAGGGGGAAUCAGUGGAAUGAGUAGCCUUCACUGUGUUAUUAAAUGACAGCCCAUUGGAGAACUCAUCAAGUAGAGGAGAGCUGGACAAAUUAAGUGUGUAGACUCUUCCUUUCUCCUGCACUUUACAAUAUCCCCUGGGUCUCUCAAUGGAUCUGGGGCUAGGCUGGCCGCCAGAAAACCCCGGGAAUCCUCCAGCAUUCACCUGCUCUCGGCACUGGGGUUAUAGAUACGCAUGGCCACACGGAGCUUUUCCUCUCAAAGAUCAGCGAGAUAAUUUGCAAGCAAAAUCUCAGCGCUGAGAGACAGAUUGGUACCUAGCAGCCAGUGAUGGGAAAACGCCUCCUCCAUACUCAGCUUUGUCACCCAACCUCUUGUGAAGACAGGAUGGAGCCCAGAUAGAGGCCUCCUGCUGACUCCUUGUGCAAAGAGAGGAAACAAGGGUCAAUGCUAACAAGUGAAACACUGGCUUAAAAUAUGAAUCUGCUCUCUAUCAAAUGCUCGUGCAGUCUUUAAAGGAGAGGAGGCAGAGGAGGUAGAGGUGGUAUUAUUUCCCUCCCCUUCCUUCCCCCUUUCCCUCCCUCAUUCCCUCUUCCCUCUCCCCUUUCCAUUCCUCCCUAUCUUUCUCUUCUUUCCUUUCCUUACUCUUUUCCCUCCUUCCCUCCCUCCUUAACUCCCCCUCUCCACUUCCUCCAUCUCUUCCUCUUUCCCUUCUUUCCUCCCCUUCUCCCCUCCCUCCAUCUCUUCCUUCCCCCCUUCCUUCUCUACCUCUCCCUUCUACCUCUCCCUUCCUACAUCUCCCCCCCCCCCCUUUUUUUUGUCCUGAGUCUCUGUCCUUGCGUUACUAGUGACAGUAAGAAACAGCUGUGGCAGUGAUUCUAGCCAGGGCUUGGCCUUGCAUGUUGUUCAUGCUGUCCAGGAUGGGCUAGUGCACAGCCACCUUUCAGACGUGAUUAUUUCUUCCUGCUUCUGCCUGAUGCAAGACAUCGAAGAGGAGAGGAUCUGGGAAGGAGAGGAUCUGGGAGGAUGGAGUCUAGAUCACAAGGGAACAUACAGGU
rnacentral:lncRNA from 1 species